rnacentral:rRNA from 1 species
CCUACGGGAGGCAGCAGUGGGGAAUAUUGCACAAUGGGGGAAACCCUGAUGCAGCAAAGCCGCGUGAGUGAAGAAGUAUUUCGGUAUGUAAAGCUCUAUCUGCAGGGAAGAAGAUUACGGUACCUGAUUAAGAAUCCCCGGCUAAAUACGGGCCAGCAGCCGCUGUAAUACGUAGGGGGCAAGCGUUAUCCGGAGUUACUGGGUGUAAAGGGAGCGCAGACGGCAUGGCAAGUCUGCAGUGAAAGCCCGGGGCUCAACCCCGAAACUGCUCUGGAAACUGUGCGGCUAGAGUACUGGAGGGGCGGGCGGAAUUCGUAGUGUAGCGGUGAAAUGCGUAGAUAUUAGGAGGAACUCCAGUGGCGAAGGCAGCCUGCUGGACAGUAACUGACGUUGAUGCUCGAAAGCGUGGGUAGCAAACAGGAUUAGAUACCCGAGUAGUC